rnacentral:rRNA from 1 species
UACGUGGGGGGCAAGCGUUGUUCGGAAUUAUUGGGCGUAAAGGGUGCGUAGGCGGUUUGGUAAGUCUGAUGUGAAAUCUAUGGGCUCAACUCAUAGUCUGCAUCGGAAACUGCCGGGCUUGAGUGUGGGAGAGGUGAGUGGAAUUCCUGGUGUAGAGGUGAAAUGCGUAGAUAUCAGGAGGAACACCGGUGGUGUAAACGGCUUUCUGGACCAUAACUGACACUGAGGCACGAAAGCGUGGGUAGCAAACAGG